rnacentral:rRNA from 1 species
CCUACGGGUGGCACCAGUGGGGAAUAUUGCACAAUGGGCGCAAGCCUGAUGCAGCCAUGCCGCGUGUAUGAAGAAGGCCUUCGGGUUGUAAAGUACUUUCAGCGGGGAGGAAGGCGAUAAGGUUAAUAACCUUGUCGAUCGACGUUACCCGCAGAAGGAGCACCGGCUAACUCCGUGCCAGCAGCCGCGGUAAUACGGAGGGUGCAAGCGUUAAUCGGAAUUACUGGGCGUAAAGCGCACGCAGGCGGUCUGUCAAGUCGGAUGUGAAAUCCCCGGGCUCAACCUGGGAACUGCAUUCGAAACUGGCAGGCUAGAGUCUUGUAGAGGGGGGUAGAUUUCCAGGUGUAGCGGUGAAAUGCGUGGAGAUCUGGAGGAAUACCGGUGGCGAAGGCGGCCCCCUGGACAAAGACUGACGCUCAGGUGCGAAAGCGUGGGGAGCAAACAGGAUUAGAUACCCUAGUAGUC